rnacentral:rRNA from 1 species
CCUACGGGUGGCAGCAGUGGGGAAUAUUGGGCAAUGGGCGCAAGCCUGACCCAGCAACGCCGCGUGAAGGAAGAAGGCUUUCGGGUUGUAAACUUCUUUUGUCAGGGACGAAGCACGUGACGGUACCUGACGAAUAAGCCACGGCUACCUAUGUGCCAGCAGCCGCGGCAAUACGUAGGUGGCAAGCGUUAUGCGGAUUUAUUGGGUGUAAAGGGCGUGUAGGCGGGAAUGCAAGUUAGAUGUGAAAACUAUGGGCUCAACCCAUAGCCUGCAUUUGAAACUGUAUUUCUUGAGUGCUGGGGAGGCAAGCGGAAUUCGGUGUGUAGCGGUGAAAUGCGUAGAUAUACGGAGGAACCCCGAUGGCGAAGGCGGAUUGCUGGACAGUAACUGACGCUGAGGCGCGAAAGCGUGGGGAGCAAACAGGAUUAGAUACCCUUGUAGUC